rnacentral:rRNA from 1 species
UACAGAGGGGGCAAGCGUUAUUCGGAAUUAUUGGGCGUAAAGGGCGCGUAGGCGGUGAUUCAAGUGACGGGUGAAAUCCCUCGGCUUAACCGAGGAACUGCCUGUCAGACUGGAUUGCUUGAGUGCGGCAGAGGAGACUGGAAUUCCUGGUGUAGCAGUGAAAUGCGUAGAUAUCAGGAGGAAUACCGAUGGCGAAGGCAGGUCUCUGGGCUGACACUGACGCUCAUGCACGAAAGCGUGGGGAGCAAACAGG